GUACCAAAAACCCAUGAUCACACCCAUCCACAUCUCAGCCAUGUGCACGUCCUUUCCUUCCGCAUCCAAAGUUCCUUCCACGUCAUCCCUUUCCUUCCCUGUUUAAGCUUCAAAACAGAGUCAACCCCAAUCUCUUUUCAUCACGAAUCACAUCCAGCCAUCCCGACCUCUGAGAUCCUCUCACGUCUCCAUUUCAGCGUCAUUCUCUCCCCAUUCCGUGGAUCACGUCCUAGCCAUCUUCUGAACCAACCCAUCCUCUUCCGCUAGAUCCCAGCCAAGAUAAGCCUUCCGAACUCCCAGAUUUCCUAUCAUCCUUAUCCAAACUUCCCAGCUCCCCUGUUCCCAGCCGAAGGAUUCUUCCGCAGUCCAAAGAUCUCUUCCCAGCUUCAUCUCUUCCGAAUUCCAAGUCCCGAAUUUUAUGAAUCCUUUCCAACUCCCCUAUUCCACGACAUUCAUCCAGAACCGAAUCAGAUUAGAACAAAAACAUCCCUGUGUCUCCGUGACCUCCUCCACGUCCUUCCCGAGCUCAUCCUCCCAAGGAAUAGAGCUGUCAUCCCAUCCGGAUUCAUCCCAGCAUCUUUCGGAUCAGCUCCCCAGCUUCCUCGGCUUCAUCCUCCCGAGCUUCAUGGCAUCCAAGCUUUUUCUCCCAACUUCUGGAUCAACUCCAUCCUUCCGCAUACAAAGAUCCCCUGUUCUCAGCCGUAUCCACCAUUUUCAAGCCUCCCGCAUCUCCAUCUCAGCCGUAAGCUCAAUCUAACAUCCACGUCCUCGCCAUCCCCUGCAGCCAAGGAUCAAGCCGACUUCAGCCAAGGAAUUCCAGCUCCUAGCUCACCGACUUUGACAUCCGGAUCAGAUCAUC
rnacentral:lncRNA from 1 species